GUGCUUGCUUUGGCAGCACAUAUACUAAAAUUGGAACGAUACAGAGAAGAUUGGCACAGCCAUUGCACAAGGAUGACAUGCAAAUUCGAGAAGCAUUCCAUAUUUAA